UGAACAUUAGUGUAUAUAGGCAGGGAGGAGAUAAGUGUGAAUACCUGAAUUGUAAUAAAACCAGGAGAAACAGCGCAGAAAUAAGACUUUUUCGUUUUCCACUUGACGAAAAUCGACUAAAACAAUGGAUUUUGAAUUCUGGCAAUGCAUCUCUGGAGCUUUUUGAUAGAGAGGAACUGAGAAAUAAAUGUUUGUGUUCUGAUCACUUUGAGGAAAACGCUUAUGCUUCAGAGAAGAAAAUUAAAUUGAAAAAAAACGACUAUUCCUAUAAGUUAUCUAGAUGUGCCAUCUAGCAGCCAUGAUCAAGAAUUAAAGGUUUUAACUCCAAGAAAAACCUACAAAACUAUCUUCUGCAGUAGUGCAUGGAAGAAAAUUAAAUUUCCAUUCCUCUCCUCCUCGUGAAAGUCCUAAAUUAAGGAAAUAUUUGGAAGAUCUAACUAAUUUGCCAGAUCUGGAAGUUUCAAUCGUCCUUCAAGUAGUUUAAAUACGAAAUGUAAACUACAAGAAAAGAAGAUUAAAUCAUUAAGACAACCAGUUAGAUAUAUUAAAUUAGAUAUAUUACUAUGUUUGCAUUCUACGUUCAAUUCUAAUCAUUUUCAUAUAAGGUUUCACUACAUCUAAACUCAAUAGUUUUUUAAGUUGUAUUUGGGAUCAAAUAAAAAACAGUCCAUUUUUGUACCUGUAUUUAAUUGUUGUCAUUUUUUCUUUGUUAUUUUUAAAUAUUAAAAGAAUAUGUUUGGUAGCAUAUAUUACUAUAAAGACCACUUGCGAAAAUCAUUCGUAAAAUAGUGACAAAUUUGAAGAAAUUUAAAUUAAAAAAUAUAUUUCUAUUAAUUGGCACAUCCUGUAUACUUUUCAAUAUUUCUUUAGAUCUUUCCAAAACUAACAACUUUUGUUAACCAUGUCUUAUCCUCAAUACUUUUGUAGAAAUAUUUUUUUGAUAAACUUCGGAUCUACUUUAACCUAAUGUUGACUCACCCUGUGUAUUAUGGAAGUACGUAUUAUUAACAGACAAAUAUACAUUUUUUUAUUAA